UUGUCAGUUGUGCACCAAAGUGUUGGGCUGUCUGGUUCUUUUUUCCUGCUUUUGAAGAUGUCCCACUGAGAUGGCGUGUGUGACGGACCCAACCUACCUUCCUGACUGGAGAAGAGACCUGUCCUCUGCCUUAUUUUCCGCACACUGCUAACUGAUAUCACAGGCACACUACUGUGGCGCCUUACCUCUGGAAGGUUCUGAGCUGCUUGCGCAGGAGACUCUCCAGGUUGAGCACCUUCUGCAUGAGAAGACACUUCACAGCAGUCUCCUCCCGGCUGGCUGGGUUGAUGCGAUGUGCGGUCUGUCUCCAAACCAGAAUCUCAUGCUUCAACUCUGUAGAGGACAGGACAAAAUAACGGUCAACAAAAACACUAGGAGAACUGAGUGGUCUUCCAUUCAUGAGUAAACCUGGUUGGCUCUAAUGGAUUAUAACUUGGAUAAACGUGGAUAUCAUUUAUUUAGAGAUCUGCAAGGAUACAUGGUGCUAGUAGGUUCCUAAUGGACAUGCUGCAGAGUUCGUGGAAGCAUUCGUGUAGUUUUUUUUUUCCCUUAAGUGAGGUUUGAGGUUUAAUCUCUACGUUAAAACGUUUAUGUAUCAAUAAUUUUCUAAUGAAUACAAAUAGUUGAUCACAACAAAAUCUAUCCAACCAAUACUAUCCAGGAUUUUGAUGCCAUUAAACUAAAGAGAUGAACCUCUGCUUCAUUUAUAACACUUCUAUAACCCUGCUGAGAAGCACCAUAUCGUAUAUAAGUUCUCUGAAUAAGUUGGGACCCUUAAACAAACGUGGUAACACAUUUUCCAAUCAUAACAGCCGAUAAUACUCACCUCUGAGAGGCGAAAGAGCUAGUGUUUGGUGCGUUUAGCAGCUAAUGCUAAUACCUCUCUAGCCUCGGUGCCACAGGCUAAACUAAAACUCCUGUAUAACGCUGCACUUUAGUGGAGUGGCUUUACUGCUCUUUACAACCUGACAGGUAAAAUUCAUACAUAAGGCGCAUCGGAUUAAAAGGCACACUGACGAUUUUUUGGAAAAUUAUAGGAUUAAAAGUGCACCUUACAGUGCCAAAACUGCGUUUUCACUGCUUACGAAUUUGUUAUGAAGUUUCUAUUUAGGUACCCUUUAAGUUAAA